GACGAACGCUGGCGGCGUGCCUAAUACAUGCAAGUCGAGCGAAGUUUUUCUGGUGCUCGCACUAGAAAAACUUAGCGGCGAACGGGUGAGUAACACGUAAAGAACCUGCCUCAUAGACUGGGACAACUAUUGGAAACGAUAGCUAAUACCGGAUAACAGCAUUAACUGCAUGGUUGAUGUUUAAAAGUUGGUUAUGCUAACACUAUGAGAUGGCUUUGCGGUGCAUUAGCUAGUUGGUGGGGUAAAGGCCUACCAAGGCGACGAUGCAUAGCCGACCUGAGAGGGUGAUCGGCCACACUGGGACUGAGACACGGCCCAGACUCCUACGGGAGGCAGCAGUAGGGAAUCUUCCGCAAUGGGCGAAAGCCUGACGGAGCAACGCCGCGUGAGUGAAGAAGGAUUUCGGUUCGUAAAGCUCUGUUGUUAGGGAAGAAUGAUUGUGUAGUAACUAUACACAGUA
rnacentral:rRNA from 1 species